rnacentral:rRNA from 1 species
AUUGAACGCUAGCGGGAUGCUUUACACAUGCAAGUCGAACGGUAGCACGAAGAAAGCUUGCUUUCUUUGGUGACGAGUGGCGAACGGGUGAGUAAUGUAUCGGAACGUACCCAGUAGCGGGGGAUAACUACGCGAAAGCGUGGCUAAUACCGCAUACGCCCUACGGGGGAAAGGGGGGGAUCGCAAGACCUCUCACUAUUGGAGCGGCCGAUAUCGGAUUAGCUAGUUGGUGGGGUAAAGGCCUACCAAGGCGACGAUCCGUAGCUGGUUUGAGAGGAUGAUCCGCCACACUGGAACUGAGACACGGUCCAGACUCCUACGGGAGGCAGCAGUGGGGAAUUUUGGACAAUGGGGGCAACCCUGAUCCAGCCAUGCCGCGUGAGUGAAGAAGGCCUUCGGGUUGUAAAGUUCUUUCGGCCGGGAAGAAAUCGCACGGGCUAAUACCCUGUGCGGAUGACGGUACCGGAAUAAGAAGCACCGGCUAACUACGUGCCAGCAGCCGCUGUAA